GAUGAACGCUGGCGGCGUGCCUAAUACAUGCAAGUCGAGCGAAUGGAUUAAGAGCUUGCUCUUAUGAAGUUAGCGGCGGACGGGUGAGUAACACGUGGGUAACCUGCCCAUAAGACUGGGAUAACUCCGGGAAACCGGGGCUAAUACCGGAUAACAUUUUGAACCGCAUGGUUCGAAAUUGAAAGGCGGCUUCGGCUGUCACUUAUGGAUGGAACCGCGUCGCAUUAGCUAGUUGGUGAGGUAACGGCUCACCAAGGCAACGAUGCGUAGCCGACCUGGGAGGGUGAUCGGCCACACUGGGACUGAGACACGGCCCAGACUCCUACGGGAGGCAGCAGUAGGGAAUCUUCCGCGAUGGACGAAAGUCUGACGGAGCAACGCCGCGUGAGUGAUGAAGGCUUUCGGGUCGUAAAACUCUGUUGUUAGGGAAGAACAAGUGCUAGUUGAAUAAGCUGGCACCUUGACGGUACCUAACCAGAAAGCCACGGCUAACUACGUGCCAGCAGCCGCCGUAA
rnacentral:rRNA from 1 species